UGUAGGAGCCGGCUUGCUGGCGAUGGCGUUAUGUCUGACGCCAUCGAUGUCGACUGAUCCGCCGCCAUCGCCAGCAAGCCGGCUCCUACA
rnacentral:ncRNA from 2 species